ACAUGCUUGGAAGGGAGGCUGGGGGUCGAGUUUCAAAGACAUCAACCGUUCUAGCUCAGGCUUGGAAGGAAGACACAGACGCAGGGAACUUGUUAGCAUCAUUAUUUGAACUUUUUGGUGAAAGUAUGUUAUCAUUUACUCCCAAACCUGAGCUUUCAUUCUUCCUUUGAUUGAAUUUCACCUCCAAAAGCUAUAGUUUUUGAAGGAAUUUGUGUAAAUUAUCCCCAUAGUUUUUUUCAGUCUUACUGUGUUUAUCUUUAUAAGUCUUCUUUUUUUCCUUGCUCAUAAAUGUAUUGUAGUUAUCAGAAAAUAUAUUCUACUUUGGAUUUUGUUUAUAUUAAAUUUUAGGUUAAAUUCUGCUAUUAGUCUCUGUAUUUACGAAAAUGAUGGAUUUAGUCCUUAUACCUUAAUUUGAUCAAUUUUAGUCAUUGUAUUUUUUGAAUUGGUCAAUUUUAAACUAUUUACUUUUUGAAGUUUGAAAUUUUAGUCUUGAUCCAAAUAAUAAUAAUAAUUAAAUCUGCUUAUUUAAAUUCAAUUAUUAGUUUUGUAUUAUGUAGAUAGUUAUAAAUUUAGGGUGGGUUUGGAUGGGCUGUGCUUUUACCUGCAGUUAGUGUAAAAAUAGCGGCGGUGGUGAGAUUAGAUAUCCAAGGUACCUAAUUUUUAUUUUGGCCAUAAGUACUACUAAAACUAUUCUUCCGUUACCCAUUUUAUACCAAAAUGUUAUAUCGGCUAAAAAGAUUCCAACAAAUAAUAGAUUGUAUGUCAUAUAAACUUUUUUAAAAAAUCAUUAAUUAAUUAAUUUUUAUAUUUUUCUUUCUUAUUCCUUUAUAAUGUUUGACAAUGUCGAUAAUGCUUGAAAUUGGCCCACUUGAGGUCGAAACGCUGGUGAUUAAUUUUGGUUUUGAAUUUCACCACCUACUUCUCUGACCAGAGGGGAUAGAAAAAGUUCUUUCAUCGAUCAAAACUAGUAUUUUCAAAAACAGACUGAUUCUACGGGUUGGAUAGGAAAUCGGUUUGGAAAUAGGGGUUGAAUCGAUUGACUUGCGAGCAAAAACAAAUCGGUUGAACUAAGCUAAAAAAACUGGUUGAAUAAGUUCUCUCUUUUUAUAUAUAUAUAAAUAAUAAUAGGCUUUGUUUUUACUACAUGUCAAUUUUUAAUUGGUUAAUUUUUUUUUCAUAUAAAUUGAACAAUUUGACUAAUGACGGAGGUACCAAAUUAUAGUCUAGGUACCAAUUUAUGGGUUAAGCCUAUUUAUAAAAUAGACUUUUGACAGUUUGACUAAUGGCGGUAGUAACUUGGGAAAAAAAAGUAGUUUAUGUACCACUUGUGACAAAAAAUAAGAUUAGGUACCAACAUGGGAAAAUGAGUAUAAUUUAGAUACCGAUUUAUGAGUUAAGCCUAAUAUAUUUGUCGCAUAAUUUUUUGAAAAUAACAGAACUUAAUAAAUUUAACGGUUAUUGUUUGGUGAUUACUAAAAUUUUAAAAUUUGAAAAGUACAUGAACUAAAAAUGACCAAAUUAAAAUAUAAAUAUUAAGUCCACAACUUUUGCAAAGUACAAGGACUAAUUGCAGAAAUUAACCUAAAUUUCAUAUGGGUCAAUUACAAAAAUAAUCACUAAACUAUCCCUUUGGUUCUAUUCUAGUCACUCAACUAUAUAGGUGCUCAUGAGCUUGGCCAGGUCAGGCCUAAGUAAGGGUGAGCAUUCGAUUGAAUCGAAAAUAGGGUUUGGGAUAGAUGGGAGGGGAAUAAAAGUUUUAGGGGAAAAGUGGGAGGGAGUAAAAAUUUUGGGAGAAAAUAAAAGGUUUUGAGGGUUUUGGGGAGUAAAAUAUUGAGAAAAAAUAAAUAGGAGAGUAAAAUUUUGGUGGGAAAUGGAUUUUGGGUAGAUUGGGGGGUUGGGAGGGGAGGGGAGUAAAAGUUUUGGGGGGAAAGUGGGAAGGAGUAAAAGUUUUGAGGGAAAAGUAAAAAAGUUUGGGAGUUUGGGGUAAAAAUGUAAAAUAUUAUAGUUUGAUAUUCGAAUUAUUCGAAUUAUUCGAGUUAUUCGAAUUCGAAAACUCAACUCGAUUCGAACUCGAAAUUCGAAAAAAAAUUCGAGUUGAUUCGAAUAACUCGAUUCGUUUAACUCGAAAUUUGAAUUUUUUUCAAUUUUUUCGAGUCGAAUCGAGUUUUGCUCACCCCUAGUUGCAAGUGCAACUUGCGUGGUGGCUGCCAGAAGGACUGAAUCGUAAAUGUAGCAAAAGUUUUGGGGCAAAAAUGUAAUUUUGAGAAAGUUUAGGGUCAAAAUAUAAUUUUAAAAAAUAUUAAGGGUUAAAAUAUAAUUUUAUAAAAAUUUAAGGGUCAAAAUGAAAUUUUAGAAAAGUUCAGAGGUCAAAAUACAAUUUUUAAAUUUUUUUUAAAAAAAAAAACACGAAAUUAUUCCCACAAAAUUAAGUGAUUACACGUAACUUUUCAAUGUAAAAGAAAAAAAAGACUGUAACACCAAUGUUGUGGUGUUAUUUGUUGCCUAUAAAUACCAUUCCUAUUCUUCAUCUUCCUCUGCAAACAUAACAUGGCCCCCUAUCUCUUUCUCUGCCUAUUCCUCUUCUUUCCCCGUCUUUAUGCUUCUUUUUCUUCUUCAGGAUAUCAGUCCUGCUCUUCAUUAAUCCAGUUUAAGGACUCUUUUUCCAUAACAGAGGAUGCUUCUUCUGAUUGCAAUGAGAUUGCUGGCCUUAAAUCUUAUCCCAAGACAAAUUCAUGGAAGGAGGGUACAGAUUGCUGCUCAUGGGAUGGGGUCACUUGUGACCACCUAAAUGCUCAUGUUAUUGCCCUUGACUUGAGCUGCAGUUGGCUAUAUGGCAACUUCCCUUCCAAUACCACUCUCUUCCUUCUUCCUCACCUUCAAAAACUCAACCUUGCCUACAAUGAUUUUAAUCUUUCCAAAAUUCCAUCCGAGUUCGGUCGGUUUACAAGCCUAUUCUACCUCAACCUUUCCCAUACAGAGUUUGAAGGAGAAGUCCCAUCCCAAGUCUCCCACCUGUCAAAAUUGGUUUCACUUGAUCUCUCCUCUCGGAUUGAUUACUCUGGGCAAGUUACAAUUGACAAACAUGCUCUGGAGGGACUUGUUCACAACCUAACCGAGGUCAGACAUCUGUUUUUGGAUGGAAUGGACAUGUCUUCUGUUAAUGCUCAUGUCUUCAUGAAUCUAUCCUCUUCUCUAAGGUCUCUCAGUCUUGCUUAUUGUGAUUUGCAAGGAAAAUUCCUAAAAAACAUUAUUGAUUUGCCAAACCUCAAUCUCCUCAACUUGGGACGUAACCAAAACCUCAAUCUUGAUCCUUUGAAGUUCAAUCGGAGCAGCAAUCUCGAACAUUUGGAUCUGUCGUGGAUGUCCUUCUCUACAGAAUCCGUUAAUUCAGUUGAUAAUCUACAGGCCUUAAAGUACUUAGAUCUAUCAGGAAAUUCUUUCUUUCAAGGAUUGUCUGUCUCAAUCACAAAUUUAUCAUCUUUGGAGCAAUUGAUAAUUUCAGGCGCAAAUUUUUUUGGAGGAUUGCCUGACUCGAUGGGGAAUCUUGUGUCCUUGAAGUUUUUAUUUCUCUCCGAUUCCAACUUUUCAGGACCGCUUCCAAGAUCACUGGGAAACCUCUUUCAACUCAAGUGUUUAGACUUGAGAUCAAACAAAUUGAGUGGACAAAUUCCAUUGUCAAUUCUAAACCUAACGCAGUUGGAAUACUUGGAAAUAUCUGAAAAUUCUUUAGAAGGUUCCAUUCCAGAUGAGGUAACCGCUUUUCCUAAUCUAAUAUAUUUAUACUUAUCUGACAAUUUACUCAGUGGAACACUUCCGUCAUGGUUGUAUACUGCUCCCUCAUUAGACAGUAUAGGUCUCUCUCAAAAUCAAUUCAGUGGGCAUAUCAAAGAAUUCCAAUCCAAAUCACUAGAAUUGAUAGCGUUAGAGAGUAAUAAACUCCAAGGUCCUCUUCCAUCUUCAAAAUUCCAACUUCUCAAUCUUACCCACCUCUCUUUAUCCUCAAGUAAUCUCAGUGGUGUCAUAGAGUUUCGCAUGUUCUCAAACCUUCCAAAUCUAAAACUUCUUGACCUUUCAUACAACAGCCUAUCCUUAGCAUCUAAUACUACUUCUUGUGUUAACCAUAUAUUGCCUAAUCUUACAGACUUACGUUUGUCAUCUUGCAAUCUUAGUGAAUUCCCCCAAUUUUUGAAAGGGCUUAAAAGUUUGAAAAGGUUAGACCUCUCUUGCAACAAAAUUGAAGGCAAGAUUCCACAGUGGAUGCAAGAGGUGGGGAAUGGCUCUUUGACUUACUUAAACGUAUCUCACAACUAUUUGACAGAAGUUGAGCACUUUCCACGGAAGAAUAUUGAAGUUCUUGACUUAAGCUCCAAUUUGAUCAGUGGAAAUCUUCCGAUUCCAGCUUCGACCAUCAAUGUCUUUUUGAUCUCAAAUAAUAGUUUCAAUGGAGAGGUCUCUUCUUUAAUAUGCAAUGCCAGUUAUCUUAAAAUUCUUGAUUUGUCCCACAAUAACUUGAGUGGAACAAUUCCGCAAUGUUUUGGAAAUUUGAGCAACAGCCUUCAAUUCUUGAAUCUGAAGAAGAACAAGUUCUAUGGGACGAUUCCUCCAACAUUUGCAGAGGGAUGCCAAUUGACUAAUUUCAACAUAAAUGGAAAUCUGUUAGAAGGGCCUUUGACACCAUCCAUCCUUAAUUGUAAUGAACUGGAAGUGCUAGAUCUUGGUAACAACAAGAUCAAUGAUACAUUUCCUCAUUGGUUGGGCAGUCUUCCAUUUUUGCAAGUUCUUGUAUUGAAGUCAAAUCAUAUGCAUGGUUCCUUGCGUGUCAAUAGCUCCAAGUCUAGCCCUUUUUUCUCUAAAAUCCAAAUUUUUGAUCUCUCGAGUAAUUAUUUUUCUGGACCUCUACCUGUGAGAUACAUCAACAGCUUCAAGGCUAUCAUAAAUCUAGAUAAGAUUGGGAGUACAAUGUCGUACAUGGGGGUGUAUGCUCAGAGAGGUAGUGGCUUCUAUACCUAUUCCAUUGGAAUUGUUAUGAAAGGACAAGAUAUGGAAUUGGUGAAAAUUUUCACCAUGUGGAUGAUCAUUGAUCUAUCAAACAAUCAGUUUGAAGGGUGUAUUCCAGAGGUUUUUGGGAAGCUUAACUUACUGAAAGGGCUCAACCUUUCUCAUAACAACCUUCAUGGUGGUAUCCCCACCUCAAUAGGGAAUUUGACAAGUCUUGAAUGGUUGGACCUAUCUUCAAACAGGUUGUCUGGGACGAUUCCAAAUAGAUUGGCAGAUCUGGCAUUUCUUUCGUCCUUCAAUGUUUCUGAUAAUCAGCUCCAUGGUCAGAUUCCUCAAGGCAAACAGUUCAACACAUUUGGAAAUGAUUCAUAUGAAGGAAACAAGGGAUUAUGUGGAUUUCCAGUCUCGAAAGGUUGCAACAUCAUUGAGCCACCACCUCCAAAUGUGCUUGAAAAAGAUGGCUCAAAAUCAAACAUUACUUUUGGUUGGAAAGUGGUGUUGAUAGGUUAUGGAUGCGGAGUGGUGUUGGGAAUGUCCGUGGGAUAUGUUGUUUUCCAAACUGGUAAGCCGAAAUGGUUGGUGAAUUUGGUUGAAAUCCAACAUGAGAAGAAGCAAAGACGAAAGUCAAAGAAAGGCAAUCGAAGCAAUAGACGAAGAAGGAUCUAAGUACAGCAAAUGAUGUUCAAGAAUUAGUGUUGUAUUUUCAAAAUUUCUUGUUCUGUAGACCGUUUUGCCCAUGGUGAAGGGUUGCAUUGGUAUGUGUAUGUCUUUAUUAUUGUACCAAUUCCUGUCUUUCAUUGCAUUUCGUACUAUCUGUAAUGGUUUGUUUGAGUGUAACAUUUUGUAUGGUAUUGUUGUUUAUGUCUUCUUUCAUGACUUUCCAUUUAGUCUCGAUAAUCUUUGCUACUGCUCAGUAAAGGAGGAAGGAGAAUAAAAUGUCUCAAUUUAUGUCAAUUUAUGCUUGCAGAUUUGACGUGGAAUGUUGUUGAACUGAAGGUUGUUUAACUUUUGUCUUCUAAGCUAUACAUGAACAUAUGGGAUGUGACAAAUAUUAUUUUAGCUUUUGCUUAUGAAAUGUUGAAAUAGUGAGUUUAUAUUCCUUGAUUAAUAAAAAGUGAGAUGGAGAUAGUCAAACCUCAAUUUCCACAUUGAAAUUGAAUCCAAACAUUAAUUGGUGGAUCACAUGUCUUGUAUUCUGUCAAGUUAAAGGGAGUGAAUAGAGCACCAUUCUUCUUCUGCGUGGAAAAUAAGUUGGCGUUAUGCCAAUUUUCACAUUCAUACAUAUAAAGGAAGCAAGACCAAGUCAAUAUACUUUGUAAUCUCAUCAUUUCUUCUUCAUUCUUUAGGGAGUUCAAAUGAAAUACAAAUUUUUGGUAAAUCAACUCUUCUUUUUUAUGAAUAAAAAUUAUAUGGUAAAAAGGAAGUGGUGUUAAUAAUAAUAAUAAUAAUAAUAAUAACAACAACAAUACAAAACUAAUAAAGCAAUUUAGUCUAUGAUUUGCACAAUGAUUAAUGUAGCGACCUAAAAAUUUAGGCACGAGCGCUAAUUGAAGUGAUUAUUGAAAAUUUGAAAACAGAAUCUCGAUUUUAUUUGAAAAAGGAGUCGCUAUCGAUCUUUUUUUCUAGGUGUGAUCGGACACCUAAUAAAUUCUCUUUUUAGAAGAAAAAUUUAUUUUUAAAUUUUUCUAAAAAUAGGUAAUUUUUCUAAAAAAUUUAGGGGUCAAAAUGUAAUUUUUUAUUUUUUGAAUUUUUUUUGAAAUUUAAAAAAAUAUAUAUAUAUAAACACGACAAAACCCGGACAAAAUUUAGUGCUUACAAUUAAUACCUAAUUUGAUCCUUGAAUUAUAGUUCAAAAAGUAUUUUUAUAUUUUUAAAUUUUCAUAAAAAUAAUUGUAUCAAAAUUUAAAAAUCUUAAAAAUAAAUACAAAUUUUAUAUAAAAAAUCAAUUGGCCCAAGAAAAAAAAUUUACCAACUAAAUUUUCCAUAUCCAAACUCAUAAAUAAUUCUUCUUUGAACUUUCACAAAAAAAUAUUAAAUACCCUUUCACUUUAUCAUUAUAAAUAUAAUAUACAUUUUUUUCCUUCUUUUUCAUGUAGAUCAGCUUCAACUCUACUAUUCUUAGAUCAUUAUAAAUAUAAUAUAUGUUUUAUUUACAGCUGAAAGUAAAACCUUGAGUUGAAAUUUGGCAGAAAAAAUUGUGGGUUUGGAGAAGAAGAAGAGCACUUUGUAUUUAAAUUUAAAAAAUCAAAAAUUUCAAAACUGAAAGUUACUCAAAACCCUAAACAAUCUAAUAAUUGGAGUUAUAGAAAAGAAAUAUGAGUUUAGAAAUAAAUAAAACAAAAUAAAUUUGCAAAACAAUUUCUAGGCAAAACAACAUGAAGUUGUUGAUGUGAUUGAAGGUGUUCUUCAACGGUGGAAAACAAAUAGAAUUUAAUUUGAAAAUUUUAAGAUUUUUUAAAUAAUAAAAAAUUGCAUUAGUUUAAAAACUUUAGUUUUAAUUUUAAGAUAUUUUUAGAUUUAUACAUAUUUAAUUAUUUUUAGAUUUUUUAGAUUUAAAUGAAGUUACAAUUAUUUUUGAAAACGGUACCUCUACAUUUUUGAAGGUACAAGGAAAUAAAAUAUGGAUUUGGUAUCGAUACUUCGGCCCGAGUAUCAAUGCUCGAGGUAAGUUUAUUGAUACCUUGCGAAAGGUACCAAUAAUUUUUUUAUAUUUUGAUAUUUGGUAAGAAACAUAAUGUUAGUUUGGUAUCGAUUUUCCAUGAGAUAUCAAUACCACUUAAAGAAAAUAUCGAUAGCCCUAGGACAGUAUCAAUACCUAUGUAACAGUUUUAGAAAUUUUGCAACUGGGCCCAUUUGUAGGUUUGAUUGAUGUUUUUAAUACCCUUAGUGUAUGUAUGGCAUGUUUUAAUGAUAAGAAGUGGUUGAACGACUACAACUCAUACGUAGGAUUGAAUAAAGAUGAUGAUUGGUUACUUGUGAAAUUGUUUGCUAAGUAAAUGAUGCAUGAUGGUGGUGUAACAUCCUAAUAUUUCGGCUUGGCGACUGAGCCGAGUAUAGGGUGUUACAAUGUGUUCCACAAGUUUCAUCAGCAAUCCUCAAUGCAUCUAAUUAAUUGGGAAAAUUGAGAAAAUAGAAAUGGUCAAGAAGAUGUAACAUGAUGAGUACCUCUUUGCACCGUCAAGAAUUUUAGUAAGUCUCCAAAUUCAUUCAUUAACCCUCCUUCCUGUUAAAUAUUUAUCAUUAAUUUUAUUAAAUUAAAACAUAAAUUUUUAUAAAUCUAAAGUGUAAUUUAUGAGCCGGGUUAUUCAAUCCAAAAAAAAAAAAUCAGCCAAGACUCUUUGGACAAAUUGCUUGAGUAAAACCAGAAAAUGAAUAACAAUUUUGAUGGAUUUUGAUUACAAAUGAAUUGAGGCAUAAUGCCAUUACAUAUACCAUGCAUUCAGCUGGUCAAAAUGAGACAGACAUCACCUAAUCAUCAACCUAACUCCACUAAGUAGCCUUGAAACUUAUGAAAACAUAACUUGCACACAUAGGUACGCUGAUUUAUCAAUCUAUCAGCACCUAAUUACAUCAAACAUGUUACCAACUUAGUUCAAAUCAAACUAAGCAAGAAAACAUUAACUUAAAGUAACAAAAAAUGAACAGCAGCAUGAACUUCAGCUGCAACUGCAUGGCUGGAGCAGCUCUGCUUCUUGUCUGCAUGCCGGCCAACUUCAACAAGAUCUGAGUAAGGCUAAUUUGUCCAGAAGUUGCAUCAUGCAAAACUAUUUAAUGGCUUUUAGGUAGCUUUGUCAACGGCAAAAAAAAUGAGAAAAUUAGUCAAAUUUCUUCCAUUUUUAUCUUUAAAAAUUUGGUUUUGUGCGUCAACAUGAAGUACAUGUGGCACGUACAUGCAAACUGUCUGAUUAUUUAGACAUCUACACUAGUUUUUAAAGGUAAAAAUAGAAGAAAAUUUUAAUAAACAAGACCAAUUAACUCUUUUAUCUAGCAUACAAGAAUUAUUCUAUACAUCUUUCAAUAAAUGGGGAAAAUUACAUCCACACAUUCUCCACAUUUCAGACCUGUAAUUCUAGCCAAUUGGUCACAAGCAUACAUGUCCCAUUUCAAUAUUCAAAGGUCUGCUUUGAUUAUUUUAUUUUGUGUUCUGUUGUCGCCCCAAAAUAGUUCCACUUGGCACAUCUCCAUACAUUUCAAACAUACCAAAAAUCUGCUGGCAAGCAAUACAAGACAAGUUCCAGCCACUUCAACAUUUGGCUCCUGUUCAUUGCCAAAAGAAAAAAAUAAACAUUUUUUAUAUUUAAUUGAAGGUCAAAAACACAUAAAAAGACAACCGGACAGCUAGUAUUUCAUCCAAUCUUCACAACAUGUCUGUGUGCGUGCAGAUCCUUCACUUCCCAGAAGCCUUUAGCGCGUAUUCUAUUAUAAAAUCACAGAUUACUAUUUAAAUGAUAAAUAAAUUAUUUAAAGUAUGAAAAUAUACAUGUUUUUUUUUAUUGGCUUAAGGGCGUAAAAAAUCCUUAAAUUUUUUUUUUAAAAAAGACAAUUAAAUUUCUCCUUUUUUUACACUCAAUUGAGCACUUAAAGUUUUAAAAUGCAUCAAAAAUACUCUCAAACUUCUUCCGAAAAAACAAUUAAAUCCUUAUUUUCUUUCCCACUCAAUUGGGUGCUUGAACUUUUUCAUAAUAUUUUUUUGGGCGAUUUAAUGAACCAUACAAGUUUCAAGGCUAAAAGAGGCAAAAGAAAAAGAAAAAGAAAAAGAAGCUAAAAUGACUUUUUGUUUGUAAAGUCAAAAAAUACCAAAUAAAUCAUUAUGUCUUUUUAGUUUUAAUUUUUUACUUGAUUAAAAGAGAAAUAAUUAACGAAUGAAAAAUAGCUAUUCCUAAAUAAAUUUAUCAGAAUUUAUAACAAAUGAGAUUUUAGAUUUGAAGUAUGAGGUUAUAUAUAUUAUAUAAGUAUACCUGUUUUUAUGGAAUCGGUGGAUUAUAUUUUCGACAGUCUUCUUCCCCAAGCGUAGUGAAUAGAGCACAAUUUUGUUCUUUUGGAUGGAAAAGAAUUUCUACAUUAAUUAGAUUUGGUUGACAGGCAAAUGAAUAGAUACACACAUUUUUUACGUGUUAUUAAGGAAGAAGACUAAGUCAAUCUACUUUGUAAUCUCAUCAAUCUUAAUUUUUUUAGUUGUUUAGGGAGUUCAAAUGAAAUACAAGAUUUUGCUAUAAAAAAAAAAAGCAUCCAAUUUUAAGAAUGAAAAAUAUACGGUAAAAAGAAGACUAAUGGUUGUUGAUGAUUGUGAAAAAUACAAAAAUUAUUUGUUGCCUAUAAAUACCAUUCCUAUCCUUCAUCUUCCUCUACAAACAUAACAUGGCCUCCUAUCUCUUUCUCUGCCUAUUCCUCUUCUUUCCCCAUCUUUAUGCUUCUUUUUCUUCUUCAGGAUCUCACUCCUGCUCUUCGCUAAUCCAGUUCAAGAAUUCUUUUUCCAUCACUCAGACAGAUGUUGCUUCUUCUUAUUGCGAUGAUCAAUCUUAUCCCAAGACAGAUUCAUGGAAGGAGGGUACAGAUUGCUGCUCAUGGGAUGGGGUCACUUGUGACCACCUAAAUGCUCGUGUUAUUGUCCUUGACUUGAGUUGCAGUUGGCUAUAUGGCAACUUCCCUUCCAAUACCACUCUCUUCCUUCUUCCUCACCUUCAAAAACUCAACCUUGCCUACAAUUAUUUUAAUCUUUCCAAAAUUCCAUCCGAGUUCGGUCGGUUUAUAAGCCUAUUCUACCUCAACCUUUCCAAUACAGGGUUUGCAGGAGAAGUCCCAUCCCAAGUCUCCCACCUGUCAAAAUUGGUUUCACUUGAUCUCUCCUGUCGGGCUGAUGCACAAACAAUUGACAAACAUGCUCUGGAGGGACUUGUUCACAACCUAACCGAGGUCAGACAUCUGUUUUUGGAUGGAAUCAACAUGUCUUCUGUUAAUGCUCAUGUCUUCAUGAAUCUAUCCUCUUCUCUAAGGUCUCUCAGUCUUGCUUUUUGUGAUUUGCAAGGAAAAUUCCCAAAAAACAUUUUUGAUUUGCCAAACCUCAAUCUCCUCAACUUGGGAGGCAACCAAAACCUCAAUCUUGAUCCUUUGAAGUUCAAUCGGAGCAGCAAUCUUGAACAUUUGGAUCUGUCGUGGAUGUCCUCCUCUACAGAAAUUGAUUCAGUUGAUAAUCUACAGGCCUUAAAGUACUUAGAUCUAUCAGGAAAUUCUUUCUUUCAAGGAUUGUCUGUCUCAAUCACAAAUUUAUCAUCUUUGGAGUACUUGAUUCUUAGAGGCGCAAAUGUUUUUGGAGGAUUGCCUGACUUGACGGGGAAUCUUGUGUCCUUGAAGUUUUUAGAUCUCUCCCAGUCCAACUUAUCAGGACCGGUUCCAAGAUCACUGGGAACCUCUUGCAACUCACUCAUUUAGACUUGUCGCAGAACCAAUUGAGUGGACAAAUUCCAAGAUUAUUGGGGAACCUCUUUCAACUCACUCAUUUAGACUUGUCGUGGAACCAAUUGAGUGGACAAAUUCCAAGAUCAUUGGGGAACCUCUUGCAACUCACUCAUUUAGAUUUGUCGAUGAACCAAUUGAGUGGACAAAUUCCAAGAUCAUUGGGGAUCAUUGGGGAACAUCUUGCAACUCACUCAUUUACUUGUCGGUGAACCAAUUGAGUGGACAAAUUCCAAGAUCAUUGGGGAACCUCUUGCAACUCACUCAUUUAGACUUGUCGGUGAACCAAUUGAGUGGACAAAUUCCAAGAUCAUUGGGGAACCUCUUGCAACUCACUCAUUUAGACUUAUUGGUGAACCAAUUGAGCGGACAAAUUCCAAGAUCAUUGGGGAACCUCUUGCAACUCACUCAUUUACAGUUGCCGGUGAACCAAUUGAGUGGAAAAAUUCCAAGAUCAUUGGGGAACCUCUUGCAUCUCACUCAUUUACACUUGCCGAUGAACCAAUUGAGUGGACAAAUUCCAUUGUCAAUUCUAAACCUAACGCAGCUGGAAUACUUUGUAAUAUCUAAAAAUUCUUUAGAAGGUUCCAUUCCAGAUGAGGUAACCGCUUUUCCUAAUCUAAUAUAUUUACACUUAAAUGACAAUUUACUCAAUGGAACAUUUCCGUCAUGGUUGUUUACUGCUCCCUCCUUAAAGGAAAUAUAUCUCUCUCAAAAUCAAUUCAGUGGGCAUAUCAAAGAAUUCCAAUCCAAAUCACUAGAAUUGAUAGCGUUACAGAAUAAUAAACUCCAUGGUUCUCUUCCAUCUUCAAUAUUCCAACUUCUCAAUCUUACCGACCUCGUUUUAUCCUCAAAUAAUCUUAGUGGUGUCAUAGAGUUUCGCAUGUUCUCAAACCUUCCAAAUCUAAAACAUCUCGACCUUUCAUAUAACAGCCUAUCCUUAACAUCUAAUACUACUUCUACUGUUAAUCAUAUAUUGCCUAAUCUUACAGGCUUACUUUUGUCAUCUUGCAAUCUUGGUGAAUUCCCCCAAUUUUUAAAAGGGCUUAAAAGUUUGGAAAGCUUAGACCUCUCUUGCAACAAAAUUGAAGGCAAGAUUCCACAGUGGAUGCAAGAGGUGGGGAAUGUCUCUUUGACUUACUUAAACGUAUCUCACAACUCUUUGACGAAGUUGAGCACUUUCCAUGGAAGAAUAUUGAAUUUCUUGACUUAAGCUCCAAUUUGAUCAGUGGAAAUCUUCCGAUUCCAGCUUCGACCAUCAAUGUCUUUUUGAUCUCAAAUAAUAGUUUCAAUGGAGAGGUCUCUUCUUUAAUAUGCAAUGCCAGUUCUCUUCGAAUUCUUGAUUUGUCCCACAAUAACUUGAGUGGAACAAUUCCGCAAUGUUUUGGAAAUUUGAGCAACAGCCUUGAAUUCUUGAAUCUGAAGAAGAACAUGUUUUAUGGGACGAUUCCUCCAACAUUUGCAAAGGGAUGCCAAUGGAGUAAUUUCAACUUAAAUGGAAAUUUGUUAGAAGGGCCUUUGACACCAUCCAUCCUUAAUUGUAAUGGUCUGGAAGUGCUAGAUCUUGGUAACAACAAGAUCAAUGAUACAUUUCCUCAUUGGUUGGGAAAUCUUCCAUAUUUGCAAGUUCUUGUAUUGAAGUUAAAUCAUAUGCAUGAUUCCUUGCGUGUCAAUAGCUCCAAGUCUAGCCCUUUUUUCUCUAAAAUCCAAAUUUUUGACCUCUCAAGUAAUUAUUUUACUGGACCCCUACCAGUGAGAUACAUCAACAGCUUCAAGGCUAUCAUAAAUCUAGAGAAGAUUGGGAGUACAUUGUUGUACAUGGGGGUGUAUGAUCGGAUUGCUAGUGGCUUCUAUACCUAUUCCAUUGGAAUUGUUAUGAAAGGACAAGAUAUGGAAUUGGUGAAAAUUUUCACCAUGUGGAUGAUCAUUGAUCUAUCAAACAAUCAGUUUGAAGGGGGUAUUCCAAAGGUUAUUGGGAAGCUUAACUUACUGAAAGGGCUCAACCUUUCUCAUAAUAACCUUAAUGGUGGUAUCCCCACCUCAACAGGGAAUUUGACAAGUCUUGAAUGGUUAUGUAGUUUUAGAUGUUAAGGAUAGGCUGUUAUAUGAAAGGUCGCGAUGUUUUAGAUUUGGAAGGUUUGAGAACAUGCGAAGCUCUAUGACACCACUAAGAUUAUUUGAGGAUAAGCUGAGGGAGGUAAGAUUGAGAAGUUGGAAUAUUGAAGAUGGAAGAGGACCUUCGAGUUUAUUAUUUUCUAGAUCUAAAUAUUCUAGUGAUUUGGUUUGGAAUUCUUUGAUAUGACGGAAGUGUUCCAUUGAGUAAAUUGUCAAAUAACACUAAAUAUAUUAGAUUCGGAACAGCGGUUACCUCAUCUGGAAUAGAACCUUCUAAAGAAUUUUCAGAUAUUUCCAAGUAUUCCAACUGCGUUAGGUUUAGAAUUGACAAUGGAAUUUGUCCACUCAAUUUGUUUGAUCCCAAGUCUAAAUGAGUGAGUUGCAAGAGGUUUCCAAGUGAUCUUGGACCGGUCCUGAUAAGUUGGAAUCGGAGAGAACUAAAAACUUCAAGGACACAAGAUUCCCCAUCGAGUCAGGCAAUCCUCCAAAAAAAUUUGCGCCUCUAAUAAUCAAGUACUCCAAAGAUGAUAAAUUUGUGAUUGAGGCAGACAAUCCUUGAAAGAAAGAAUUUCCUGAUAGGUCUAGGUACUUUAAGGCCUGUAGAUUAUCAACCGAAUCAAUGAAUUCUGUAGAGAAGGACAUCCACGACAGAUCCAAAUGUUCGAGAUUGCUGCUCCGAUUGAACUUCAAAGUAUCAAGGUUGAGGUUUUGGUUACGUCCCAAGUUGAGGAGAUUGAGGUUUGGCAAAUCAAAAAUGUUUUUUGGGAAUUUUCCUUGCAAAUCACAACCAGCAAGACUGAGAGACCUUAGAGAAGAGGAUAGAUUCAUGAACACAUGAGCAUUAACAGAAGACAUGUUGAUUCCAUCCAAAAACAGGUGUCUGACCUCGGUUAGGUUGUGAACAAGUCCCUCCAGAGCAUAUUUGUCAAUUGUUUGUUCACCAAACACAGAGGAGGAGAGAUCAAGUGAAACCAAUUUUGACAGGUGGGAGACUUGGGAUGGGACUUCUCCUGCAAACCAUGUAUAAGAAAGCUUGUAAACCGACCGAACUCGGACCUAUCUUCAAACAUAUUAAAUACCCAUUCACUUCAAUUCUACUAUUCUUAAAUCAUUAAAGUUUUGUGGAAAAUAUGCUUCUUGGAUAAAAAUUAUUCAACACACAUGCCUUGAAUUUUAUGCAAUAAAAUAAAUCAAUAUAGGCCACACAUGCUUUGAAUUUUUAAGUAGUCCACAAUUUUGUUCGUUUGUGUGCAAGAUUCUACAUUGCUUGACAGCCAUACAUACUAAGUAAAUAGACACCCACAUUGUUUACGUAUUAUGAGGAAGAAGAUUAAGUCAAUCUACUUUGUAAUCUCAUCAAUCUUAAUUUUCUCAGUUGUUUAGGGAGUUCAAAUGAAAUACAAAAUUUUGGAAAAAAAAUGUAUCCAAUUUUGUGAAUGAAAAAUAUAUGGUAAAAAGGAUUUGGUAUGGAUACUUCGGCCCGGGUAUCAAUACUCAGAGUAAGUUAAAGCAUCAGUGGAUGAAGAAGGAUCUGGUUGGUGCAAAUGAAGUUAAAGCAUUUGUGCUGUGUCUUCAUAAUUUCUUGUUUAGUAGUCUGUCAGAAAGUUUUUCCUAUGGUGAAAAGUUGCAUUGGUAUGUGUCUGUUUUUAUGAUUGUACCAAUUCCUCUGUAUUUCAUUGCAUUUCGUACUAUUUGUAAGGGUUUAGUUCGAGUGUAACAUCUUGUAUGGUGCAACUAUGUGUGUCUUCUUUCUUGAAUUUCAAUUUUUAGUAAACAUUGUACUGCUCACCAUAAAAAAGGAUACAUGUAGAAUUACAAAAGAUUCAAUUAUUCAAGUUUGAGUUGCAUUUAUAAAGACGUGGCGAUGAGAAUUCAUGAACGUAAGGUAUGGUUUGAGCCCUUUUGCCAUAUGCAUUUAUGUUGCAGAUGUUCAAAUAUUAAUUUAAGAGUAAUAUUUACAAUAGCAUUGCAGAGUAACAUAUUUAAGAUUGGAUUACACAGUCAAAAGAUUGCAGCAACGAUGAGAUUAAUACAAUUACAGGAAUUGGUAUCCUACAUGGCUUUUAGGCACGUAGCUUCAUUGACGAUGAGAUAAUUUUAGGAGGAAGCAACAGCAAGUGUGAAGUCAAUAGACAAUUGAUAGUCUUUAUUCUUUUGUGUGGAAAAUUAUUUGGGACCAAACUUAACGUGUUAUAAGGAAGAAGACUUUGUAAUCUCAUGAAUGUUAAUUAUUUUACUUCUUUGGUAAAAAAAAAGGAAUUAAUUUUAUGAAUGAAAAAUAUAUGGUAAAAAGGAAAUAGUUGUUGAUCACUAACAACAUGAUGAUUGUGGAAAUACAAAAAUUCCCAUAUAUGUGUUGAAUUCUGCAUAAUGUAAAUGUCCCGCAUUGCAUGUGAAUUCUGCAAUAGACCAAAUUUUACGUGUUAUAGUCCUUUAAACUGAGUUAAUGAAAAGUAAUCAUUCUUAUCAAAAUUAGUUAUACUCUUAAUUUAUAAUAAAAGAAAGAGUAAUUUGAGUUUAACUCAAAGGUUAAUAUGUCAUCAAUGGGCGAUGGCAUGGCGCUACCAUGUCAGCGAUUAUUUUCUUCUUUGAGUUAAGGUGAUUUCACCAAUUUUAGUUUACUUUUUAACUUCAAUUUAGGUUUAUGCUUAUUAGCUUCGAAGAUUCUAUGUGGGUGCCACAAUCAAAGGGUGAGUAAAAAGGGUUAAAAAUAAUUUUUUUUAAAAUAUUUUUAUUUUUAUUAAAAAUUUAGAAUUAGAAUUAGACAAAUUUUGUAAAUGUUAAGGGCUAACUUUAUUGAAUUUUUUUUUUCAGAAUUCGAACUAAAAUGACAAAUUUUGUAAAAAGCGCUAAAUUUGUUGAAUUUUUUAUAUUUAAGAUCAAAUUGAUAGAAUGUGUAAAUAUUAGAGGUUAAAUUCGUUAUUAGAUAAAAAAAAUCCACAUCAGCUUUCCGUCACUCAUCUAACGACAACUAAAGGGAGAGUGAUUAAAAUAUUUAAUUUCAAAAAGUUUAGCAACUAAUUGGAAAAUUUAAUAGUUGGGUGACUAUUUUUAUAGUUUACAACUUUUUUGGUCACAUGACUAUUAAGUGACACUUUUUAGUUGGUAUAAUAAUAAUUUUUAUCCUCAAUUUUUAUACUUUCUGUCAAUUUAACUCUAAUUAUAUAAAAUGAUUACAAAAGUGAAAUUCUUUUUAAAUUUUACAAAAUUCUAAAAAUUAAAAAUUAAAUGAAAGUAGAUAAAAAUUUCAAAUAUAAAUAAAGUGAGAGAAAAUGAGGGAAAUAUUAUUUUUAAACCCUCCAAAUUUUCUUUGUAUUAUUUGUAAAGAAAUAUCUAAUAUCCAUUCUUUUAGAAAACAUAGAAAAAAGUAAAAAAAAAAAAGAUUAAGUAAAAUUAUCUGUAUAUAAUCUGCUUUUAUAAUUUGGGUUUUUAAAAAUAAAUUUAAAUGAAUUGAAAAUUCGAAUUGAGUUUGAAAAAGAAAAUUUUGUGGUAUAUUUUAUAUUUUUGCUAGAAAAAUGGCAUCAAAGUUGAUUUUGUAAGCUUUUGUAAUAUAGUUACGGAUGUUCUUCAAGGGCAUGAAACUCAACUUGAAAAUUUUACUAAUUUGGUUGCAAAAAACAUUGAGGAAGCGUAUAAUGAUCUAACCUUUUUUUUGUUUUGUUCUGUUUUUAAUUUGUUAUGGGAUUCUAUUGAAUGAUAAUUUUUUUUAUUUCCCAUACAUAUUAGUUCUUCAACAACAACAUAUUCGAGAUUUUAUUUUUCUAGAAUUUUUAUAUAGAAGUUUAUAUUUUUUAAAAAUAAUUUUGAGUUUUUUUUAUAAUUUUUAUACAGAAGUUUAUAUUUUUUAAAUUGGCAAAAAAAAUUAUAAAAACAAAAUACUAGAAUUGUUAUUAUAGCAACUACAAAGUGUCAUUUAACAAUAGGGUGACCAAAUUGUAACUUUUUUCGUUAAGUGACCAAAACGAAGAUUUACCCAUAGUUCAGUGGCUAAUUAUGUAGUUUACCUUUUCAUAAUUAAAAAAUAGUUGUUAAGUUUUUCUUGUAUUAGAUAACAUUUUAGAUGGUAAAAACCCUCUUUAGUCCCUCUCAAUUUUGAUAUUAAGUAAAUUGGUCCAUUUUAAAAAAAAUUAAAGCAAUUUAAUCUUUGUUAAUUUCGAAAGUGAGCAACUAAGAACAAUUAAUCACAAUGUCAAUAUUUUCCAUCAAUUGUACAUAUUUUUAUUGGUAUAAUAACAAGUUUAUAAACUUGUUUACAUAUUCUGUCAAUUUGAUCUUGAUUUAACAAAUUUAUCCCGCAACAAUUACAUAUUCUAUUAACAUUUACAUAUAAUAUAUAAACAUCGAGAGCUUAUUUUGUUAUUAUAUCAAUAAAAAAUAUAUACAAUUUACAGAAAGUAUUAACACAAUGAUUAAUUGUUCUUAGUUGCUCCCAUUCAAAAUUGAUAAUGAUUAAAUUGCUCUAAUUUUCUGAGAGGAAUCAAUUUGUUCAAUAUAGAAAUUGAGAGGGACGAGAAAUGUGUUUUUAUCCAUUUUAGAUACCAACAAGUGUUUGGCGUAGUGGCAAAUCAUAUUACAUUCUCAAGGAGAUAAUGCGUAUUCAGACGUUGGAGAUAAUAAUGUUGUGUGCGGUAUCCACCGAUCUUGAACACGAAUUGUAAAACAUAUAUAAAGAAUAAAAAAAUAACAUCUUAAUUUAAAUAAUUAAUAAAUUUUAAUUUGAAAAAAUUAUUUUGAGAAACAUAAGUUUUAGUAAGUAGUAAAACUGAAUUAAUUUGAAUUUAAACUUAACGCAACUCGAUUUGAUUAUAAAGAAGUGAUAAUUUGAAUCCAAAAUGACAUGAUCUUAAAAUGAUUUGAAUUAAUUGUCAAACCCGAACGACAAAACUCGAAAUGAUGCAAUCCAAAAACGCUGGUUAAAAUGAUGCAAUCCAAUCGUAGUAAGUUUAACCUGCUGCUUUAGAUUUUGCAUUUUGGUUAAUUGGCUUGUGUUAUGUGUUUCUCUGGCAUCAGCCGAUAUGUGGAUUUGCCUCUCGUGAUGCACUACCAUUCAAGAAGCAUAAUGAUUUGUUCUACAUUGAUGACAAAGAUGUGGAGUUUAAAGAAGUAAGAACUGAUCAACAAUAUUCGAGGUUCUGUUGUAUGUUGCCUUAUUAAAUAAGUCUUCACUUAAAUUCCUAUGUUGCCUUAUGUAUGUAGGUUCUUGAGUCACCUUUACCAAAAGCACCACUUGAUACAUCUGUUACAUCCCACUGGCUUGCGAUUGAAGGCAUUCAACCAGCAAUUCCCGAAAAUGCUUCAAUUGAAGGUACCGUCUUAGCUAACCUAAAUAUUUUCUCGAAGCUAUUUGUGUUGAAUACUCUCAUGGUUCAUGUUCUUUUCUGGUUUUAUCACUUUAAUCUAAUACGACUUAUCUUCAUUUCUACAUGGAAUUGGUAGUUUGCUUUCCAUGCAGCACCUUCUGAUGGUAAAAAGGCUGAAUACAAAGAAGAUGGGCUUUCCGUUGAUGUCAAAUUACCUGUUAAGCAUGUAUUAUCUAGAGAGCUUCAAGUAUGUUGUACAUCUUCAGCAACAUUUUUAUGUUAAAAUACAUUUUGCACAGAAUGUUAUUAAAAGACUAAUUUGGUUGUCAUGCAGCUUUACUUUGACAAGAUCGUGGACAUUACCAUGAAUAAAUCAGUCUCAGUUCUCUUUAAACAAGCAUUACUGAGUUUGGCAACAGACUCGGGAUUACAUCCUUUAGUUCCUUAUUUUACAUAUUUCAUUGCGGAUGAGGUUGUCUUAAAGAUCUUUGAUACCUCAUUAUAUAUGUGUGUUGCAAAGAACUUUUGGUUGGUUAUCUCAAGCUUACAUUUUUGCCACAUUUAUCUCAGGUUGCACGGAAUUUGAAUAAUUUCCCUCUCAUGUUUGCUUUGAAGCGUAUUUGCAGCUUCUUGAACCUGAAAUAAAAAGACACGAGGCCUGGUGUGUUUAUGGGGCCCUGCUGGUAAGUUUAACAUCAAAUUUGGUACCAGUUUAUGAGCAUCGUUUCAUUUAUUUGCUGUAGAACUAACAACACUGCAUAAAAUUUCCACUAACAGCGUGCAGCUGGACUGUGCAUGUAUGAUCGGCUUAAAAUGUUCCCCAGUUUGCUAGCACCCCCAACUCGUCCCAUCUGGAAAAGCAACAACAAAGUUGCGACAAGUAUGAUUUCUUCGAACCAUCAUAUUUACACUUAAUCCACAAGUCUCUUCUCCCCCUUUACGAUAUUCCUUUUUCUGAUCAAUCAAGAUAAACGAAAAGCAAGCACGGACACCUUGAUGCAGCAGCAACCACCUGCCAAGAAAAUAGCAACUGAGAGUGCAAUAGGUAUGAUGCCGAUAAAUUCCACGCAAACUGAUUUACAAGGGGCAGUUAGCGGCUUUUCUACCACCGUAGGAGGUUCCAAUAUCGGUGUAUCAUCAAUGUCACGGCCGUUAUCAAACGAAAACAUGCUAGGAAGGGAGGUUGGGGGUCGAGUUUCAAAGACAUCAACCGUUCUAGCUCAGGCUUGGAAGGAAGACACAGACCCGGGGAACUUGUUAGCAUCAUUAUUUGAACUUUUUGGUGAAAGUAUGUUAUCAUUUACUCCCAAACCUGAGCUUUCAUUCUUCCUUUGAUUAAAUUUCACCUCCAAAAGCUAUGGUUUUUGAAGGAAUUUGUGUAAAUUAUCCCCAUAUUCUUUUCAUUCUUACUGUGUUUAUCUUUGUAAGUCUUCCUUUUU
rnacentral:lncRNA from 1 species